CAAAGGAUAAUGAGUUGGCCCUUGAAAUCCUAAAACACCAAGGAAGAUGACAAGGCGCAGGGACAGUACAUAUUCUAGCAGAGGGAUCACUCGUAGGUUCAGCACUGGCGGUCGGAAGAAUAGAAGGUGCAAGUCGGGCGCCGAGAUGCCAAUAAAAAAGAGGAAAGGGUAUGUACGUGUCUGUGCCACAUACUACUACUGGAGAGGAAGAAAAUAAUUUCCAAUGAUUACCUUCCCACUGCUUGGAAAUUCCAUCUUUGGUGCCAGUGAAUCACAUGCCAGCAGGAAUCUUGCACACCAUGGCAACCCAUCAGAUAAGUCAUCAAUGGGCUGAGGGAAGACUGCAAGUUUCAAGAGCUCUCCUAUUGCACGAGCAAUGCUGGCCCUGCCUGCCUGCCUGCCUGCCUGCCUGUCUGUCAGUAAACUUAUGAAAAAGCA